UUGACGACUCUAUCUCUUUAAAUAUGUGUGGGAGUUGAUGGAAAGGCUUGUUGAUUAUCAACUCAACAAUACCCAAGUGUUGGAAUUCCAGUUACAGUUCUUGGAGAGAGGAGGAAAUUGAGGAGCUGGAGUGAGAAUCGGCUACAUAGCCAACAAUUGGUUGUUUUGGCUGGGUUGAUUCAAGUUGUUAGGAAAUUCCUUUUGAAAGUUGUAUGAAAUCAUAGAGAAUGCGUAUGAAUUGAGCAUAUCCGAAAUUGAAAUUGCUGAUGAACUGCAAAGGCGACUGA